CUCUUCAGCUCUUUUGGCAUCGCAAUCUUCUGCCUGGAAUUUGGCUUUCGAAUGAGCCCGGGUCCAGGGUUCACACAACACAGUCCUUGCAACCAACAUUUAAGCAUGUUUUCACUUGUAAGCUUUGGUCAACACCAUAUCGUUGGAAGCAAACAUAACCACAACCUCUAUGGUGGCUCCGACUUACUAUCAGAGCUAAGCUUGUCAUCGGGUCAGUUGAGACCUAAAGACUCAUCACUGGGUUGAGGCCUCACAUACGACGAGGGCUGCAUCUGGGAACAGGUUUAAACUGCUGCUUCACUGAGAGGAUGUGAGCACAGGUGGAAAGGAGAAAAAGGAACUGGGCAAGACAGAAGCCAGAAAGGCAUCUUUUAUGCUGACCAGACACCUUCCAGAGGUACAUGUUACAUUCUACGAUGUUUUCAGCAGCCUUGCUUGCCAAGGUGACAGGCACAAAGGGGUCACUGUGUGGUCAAGCCUGCUCCAUCCGUCAACAGACUUCGACCUGGCCCUCUUCCCAGCUCUGCUCUGGGUCCUUGAUGCUGACUUUUCACUUCACUUAAGAACUUGGCUGGGUCAGGGUGAAAAUAUGCAAGGGGACGGGGCUCUGGACCUCACGUCACUUGAGAUGAAACGUGUUAUGCUGUUUGCAUACUAUAACAAUCGGAGACUAUAAACAGUGAUUUAAUUAAUGACCAUAGACGAAUAUUUGCUCACCGAUCUUACGUGGAUAAAAACCCCAGAACUGACGCAACAUGAAGCCAAUGUUUACAUGGGCACAGAUGACUGGAACCUAACAUUUUGAUAGCAACUGCUACUUUGAAGAGAGAGGCAAACAAUGACAUUCUGUUUCCAAAUCGCUAGAAGAAAAGCAGAUUCAGAAAGGUGAACUUAUUCAAAAGCAAUGACUACGAUAGAGAAGGAAAUAUCUGGAUUUGGAUGGAAGAAGAGGCUCACUGUGGAAUCCAACAGCCCAUCCAGCUAGGUGGCUACUAUUACCUUCAUGGAUCUUCUGAGUUACUGUACUCAGAACUUACAAAUCUUAAAGGCUAUAUUCUAUAGCCAGACCCUGAGUUGACUAAACUGUCUUCAAAAGGAUGCUUCAAAGAUUUUUAUAAACAAGGACUAAAACUAAAUUAUGGCACAACAUUACUUAAGACGAGACUUCAAUUUGAAUAAUUUUCAUCAGCUGGACACAAACAGUGGUUAAAAACAAUAACCCGUGACUAAAUGCAUACAUACUAGCUGCUGGGAAGAACUGAAGUCUGGGGUGGCAGCAAUAACAAAAAAAUUUUGAAAAAUUAAAAAAUGGAAAGGAACUUGUUUUUCAAGACCACAGAAGAAAGGAAAACAUGGGGAAAGCAUAGCUCAGUCAAGGUUUUCAAAUGACAACACAUUUCCAGAAGGGCUUCUUCACUCAGAGGAAAUCUGGGAUCUGCUUAGUCUCCUCUCCCACACCUCUGCUCCUCCUGUAUUUCCCCCUAAAGUGAAACCAAACACAUUACUCCAAGGCAGGCAGAAUCACUGAUACCUUUCCAUGAGGCAAGCCAGCAAAUAAACUAAGUAAUUGUAGAAUGUGUAUUUUAGCGCUCCAAGGAAAUGUUAAAAACUUAU
rnacentral:lncRNA from 1 species